rnacentral:misc_RNA from 1 species
UCAAACUUGGUCAUUUAGAGGAAGUAAAAGUCGUAACAAGGUCUCCGUUGGUGAACCAGCGGAGGGAUCAUUACAGAGUUGAAAAACUCCCUAAACCAUUGUGAAUCUUACCUUUUCGUUCGUUGCUUUGGCGGGCGGCUCCAGGGCGGAGCCACUGCCCGUUGGGUCGGGCGCCCGCCGAAGGACAACCAAAAACUCGCAAAGUUUGUACGGAUCUCAGAGUAAAAAUAUCAAGCUAUCAAAACUUUCAGCAACGGAUCUCUUGGUUCUGGCAUCGAUGAAGAACGCAGC